AGCCAUGUCUCCUGCUUUAAGCAAGCUGGGUGCCGGAGCUGACUCUGCAAAUCAAAUAAGCUGGGGUCAGCUCGCAGCACCUCCAUAGAACCAGCAGGGUUACACAGUGCCCCAUGACCUCACGUACUCUCUAAAAGGCAGAGAUUUACCCGUUGGAGAGAAGCCCCCAGAGGAGGCCCAAGGAAGACUUAUCAGCUGCUGCCUGGAGCCAAAGGAGCAAGGGAGUUUGACAGCUGCAAGGGAAGCUGACACUGGGAGGGAAGGAGUGUACGAGGAAGCAGGCUCAAGGCCACACAACCCCAGGAUUGACGGAAAGAGCUGCAGCUCAAAUCCAGACCUUCAGUGGUUCUAAGGCGUGCAGGCGUGAUAAAACACAGAUGGAGAGGAGCAGACAACGAUGCCAUGCUCGCAGAAGACAUCGCACCACGUUGUAUGCUUUCAGAAAUCUUGGAAGACCUCAGGAUGCAAAGUAGGAUUUUUCUUUUCCCUCUUUGGGUCUUUCCCCUCCUUCCCUCUUCGUGUAUUUGGAAUUAUCUCUUUGUCUCUUCUGCGGCUGUGUGGCCCUUAGAUCACCUGCUGCUGUUAGGAGCACUGUUGCUCUGCCUGGGCCACUGGGGCACUGCGAUGCCCUGGGCUUGACCCCACCUCUACCUGAGCCUGUUUCUGCAGCUGUGGUGAGGCAGAGGUGGGAGGAGAAGCCAUCCAUCAACCCCGCAGCCCCAGAGAGCUAAAUGAGGACUGGAAGGGUCAGAGCUGGUGGGCACUUGAGGGCCGUAGAGACAGGUGGGGAUUACAAAUUGUUGAGAUAUCAGAGCUGCGCUUGAUGGAUGGUCCAGAAUGAGGGGCAAGAUGUUGCUCCUCAGUCUCCUCCGACAGCAGGACACAGCCUGGGCCUCUGGCCUCCCCUGACUUCCUCUGGCCACCCCGACAAGACCCCUUUUCCCCAGCUUUCUUUUUCCUGCCUACUCACAGUUCAUCCAUCAAGCCAUGCCCCGAAGCUGACCUUUGCAGAGAAUAGCCCAGCCUAAGAAGCGUUUCUUGCCGAGACACCUCACCAAGGAGUUUUGUCCACAUUGGCUGGCCCAGCAGUAACCACAGCACAGCCAGUGUCUUAUCUCCUGCCCACCUCUUCCCCAUGAGCCAGAAGCAAGGGGAAGGAGAGACAGAUCUCUUUACCAGGGUUCCUGGUCAGCCCUCCUGGCCUAUCCAUGCCUGCAGAGCCGUGGGUGCCUGUCUCUGCAGUUCAACAGUCAAUAGGACUCCCCCUGUCUUCACUUUUUAAAAGCAAAGGUUUCAUUUGGCCAUAAUGGAGGAGGGGCUUGUGGAGAACCCUCCCGGGGAACCAGCUAAUGGCUAUAGAAGGCAGAGAAGGGGAAGUCAUUGUCAUCAACUAUAAGGUCACUGGUGAGUUACUGUGUUUCAGGAGAGCUCCACACCCACACCCAGGAGAGUAGCCCUGGUUAAGCCCAGUGGGGCCACAAAGCAAAAGCGAAACAGGAAGACCCGAUAGGUUAGGCCUAGGGAUAGGGACGAGGACUUGGUGGAAGG